UACGAGGGGUGCAAACGUUAUUCGGAUUUACUGGGCGUAAAGGGUGUGUAGACGGCGCAUUAAGUUCGUUGUUAAAACUUUCGGCCUAACCGGAAGCUUGCAGUGAAAACUAGUGUGCUAGAGGAUGGAAGAGAGAAGUGGAAUUCUUGGAGUAGCGGUAAAAUGCGUAGAUCUCAAGAGGAACACCGAUGGCGAAGGCAGCUUCUUGGUCCAUUCCUGACGUUGAUACACGAAAGCGUGGGGAGCAAACAGG
rnacentral:rRNA from 1 species